rnacentral:lncRNA from 1 species
GGGGGAAACCCUAGAUCAGUAGAUCGGAUGACGGCGAUGCUCUGGUGUCGUUUCCCUCUUGGGGCGUCAUUCAUGGAGGUACACACGGGCUCGAGGGAUCAUUGGUCGGCAUCAACGAUGGAGCGCGUUCCUUGUGACACAUCGACAUCGUGGAGUCUCGGCGGCGAGGCGCAGCAAAGUCUCGACGACGGAUGCGUGAUGAUGAGCGCGCGUAGGGAGGAGGCGCUGUCUGGCGCCGUGGGGGCAUCGACGGCAGGCCUUGCAAGGUCGAUGCGUCAGUAACUCUUCUGAAGAUAGAUUGAUGGAAAGCGGCGGC